rnacentral:lncRNA from 1 species
AUAUAUUUUAUGUGAAAUUGACAAUAAGAAUGAAAGUCGUACUAUGAACGUAGUAAGGUCGUAAGAAGAGCGUAAUGAGGACGGCAAGGGCGUGCUAGAAUCGUACUAUGGUCGUGAACAGCGUGGUAAAGUCGUAGUGGAAGCGUAGUUGGGUCGCGGUGAGAACGUGAUGGUCGUAGUAAGGUCGUGAUAACGUCGCUGUGAGAUCGUAGCGCAAUCUCUCCGAAUAGAAUCACGCUUUCGCUACGCUCUCGCUACGAUUGUACAGCGACCUUUGCGAUCUUACUACGAUCUUAGUGCG